AUACUUACCUGGCUUAGGGCACCGUGAUCACAAAGGCAGUUCCCCAAAGUGAGGCCUCACCAUUGUACUGCGCUGGGGUUGCCCUCUGCGAUUAUCACUUAUGCGGAUAACUCGGACUAAUUUUUGAAAAAAUCCC
rnacentral:snRNA from 1 species